UUAAAGACAGCCCCUUUCUUUCGGGGUCUGCGACGGGAUCAAGAUAUGUGCUGGAAACGGUCAUAGAGUAGACUAUACAAGUACAUUUUGUUAAAAUAAUCUGGCGAGAAUUUUAAAAAAAUCUUGAAGAGGGAAGUUAUUGACAGAAUGAGGGGAUAAAAAACACUGGAAUAAAUCCAACAAGUCAGUAGCGCUCUCUAUUGGAGAAUUAAAGAAAUACAGUCAUAUCAAGGGAAACAACUUCUACCUCGGGCCAAAAUAGCUAAUUACGAUUAUUAAUUAACGGAGUCGGUGCUAGUAUCUGAAUACGAAUAUUACAUUAUGUUGACGUAGAAGAAAUUUCUUCAUUCAAAUGUGCCUCUGAUAUUUUUAUCAACUAUUAUUCACUAAAGGAAAAUGAUAUAUUUAUAUUACAAGGAUUCAUCAAUACAUCAGACUCAUUAUAUAAAUAAAUCUAUGAAAAACUGUUUCUUUUGGACAAUGGAAUUAGCAGCAACAUCUUAUUGUCUUCGCUGCCUGGAAUGUAGACGAGAUGAUCACUUCACAGGUUAAUUAAGCUUGGAUAACUUUACGAAGCAUUUGACAGUUUUCACCUGCUGAUUUAGAUAUCAAGUAAGAUCACAGAUGAAAGAAACAUGGCAUUAAAUUAUUCUCUGGAAAUAGUGACGCAAGUGCUAGUGUCAUGUACAAUGCAUAGGUGCCGGUGCCAUAUAAAAAGCAUUGGUGCUGGUGUCACACAAAGAACACAAGUGCCAGUCUUGUGUACAACGCAUAGGUGCUUUUGCCCACAUAUAAAGCACUGGUGCUGGUGUCAGAUACAUGGCACUGGUGCCCUUGCCACAUGAUAUGCACUAGUGAUGGUGCUGAUGCCAGGAAAAAACGUGCUAGUGCUGAUGCCAUGUAAAGAGCCUCGGCGCUGGGGCCACAUGAAAAACAUUGCUGCUGGUGUCACUUAAAAAGCACUGGUGAUGGUACCAUACAAGAAAACCUUGAGGAUAGUGUUACAUAAAAAGAGCAGGUUCUGCUGUCACAUAUAAUUCAUUGGUGUUGGUCCUUCAUAAAAAACCAUGCGCAAUGAUACCAUGUAACAAGCACUGCUGCUGUGGCACAUAAAAAGCACUGGAGAUGGUACCACACAAGUGAAGCCCUGGUGAUGGUGUCACAUAAAAAGAGCAGGUACUGGUGUCACAUGAAAUUCAUUGGUGUUGCUCACUUAUAAAAAACUUAAGCAAUGAUGCCAUGUAAAAAGCACUGGUGAUGCUUCCAAGUGAAAAAUCACUAUGGAUGGUGCUAUGUCAAAACAUUGGUGAUGGUGCCAUGUAAGAUGAACUGCUGAGGCUGUCACACAAUAAGAACUGGUAAUGCUGUCCUGUAAAAAGCAUUAGUGCUGGCACAACGUAAAUAACACUUCACUCUUGGAGUGGUUAGUGUUAGGAAGGGCAUCCAGCUGUAGAAACUCUGCCAGAUCAGAUUGGAGCCUGGUGUAGCCAUCUGGUUUACCAGUCCUCAGUCAAAUCGUCCAACCCAUGCUAGCAUGGAAAGCGGACGUUAAAUGAUAAUGAUGAUGAUGAUGAUAUAUAUAUAUAUAUAUAAACUACACUCUCAGAGUGGUUGGCAUUAGGAAGGGCAUCCAGCUGUAGAAACUCUGUCAAAUCAGAUUGGAGCUUGGUGUAGCCAUCUGAUUUCCCCAGUCCUCAGUCAAAUCGUCCAGCCUAUGCCAGCAUGGAAACGGACGUUAAACGAUGAUGAUGAUGAUGUAAAUUAGUUGGCAUUAAGAAGUGCUCCCUGCAGUAGAUAACAUGCGAAAACAGACAAUGGAACCUCAUGCAGCUCCUGUCAAACCAUCCAGCACAUGUCUACCUGGAAAACAGAUAUUAAACGAUGAUACACAACAGUAACUAACAUACUUUGAAUCUGAUCCUCUACUGAUGUAUUGAGAACAAAUACGCCAAAUUUCGUAGUGUCUGUAAUUUUACAUCCAAUAUAUUAAACAUGUGUCGUUGUCGUUGGCUUUAUCUUGUGUUCAAGAAUUUAAUUCCUCUUUUGCUGAUUGCUUCCUUUAUGGUGACGGUAUUGACCGCAUGGUAAUGUUGGUGGAGGACAAGGUCGAUUUUGUCGAACAUUUCUCUCAUUUCACUUGUUCCUUUUCUCUUCUGGUGGCUUUCAUGAUUUUUCACUCCAAAGGUGACGGAACCUAACCAGUUGGUCUCAAGCUUGUAUUCCAAACAAUUUAAGCUCAAGCAGUGGCUUUCAGUGCAUCUUCAAAGAGGCCAAUCAUGUGGUAUUUUCUCCGAAGUGAGCUCGCUGAAUAAGACUUGGCUUGGAAACCUUGACUCUUCUAUUCCUGCUACAUGUGUUCCCAUCAAAGUCGGUGUUUCACGAUGAGUGACUCCAUACUUUGACCUUUGGCCUUUUCCAGGACUUUGUUGUUGGUCCUGUACUGUUGCCAUUUGAUGUUCAAGAUUGAACGACUCUUCUACAUACCUGAUCCAACAUUAGCAUCUGAAAGAUUCUGAGCAAUGAUACCAUGUAACCAUACUCUAUGGUAUGGAGAAAUAUAUGUAUGUUUAAUUGGAAGUUGUGAUAAUUCUAUCAUACAAAGCUUUUAAUCAUGUAUCUUUUAUUCGUUUCAUUAGACUGUGGCCAUACUGGGGCAAUGCCUUCAAGAUGUUUAGUCAAAUAUAUCAAUACCAGUGCUUAUUUUUCUUGAAGCCUAGUAUGUAUUUUAUAGGUGUCUUGCCAAGCCGUUCAAUUACAGUGACAUGAUCACUACAAGGGUUGUCAAGUGGUAGCUAGGGGACAAACACACACUGGUAAAUGGAUAUCUUCUUUCAAUUUCCAUCUACCAACUUUUUAUAUCUUGGUCUUGGAUAUAUAAUUUAACGAGGCUUGAGGAAAUAAUUAUUUACAUAACGCAAUACGAUUACUAUUGCAUGAGACUCGUCAAUCAACGACUCUCAGUGAACUACUUACUAAUUGCUUGUAGUUCGUUAUAGCAAUGGGUCAGUCCACUUUUAGUUCCUUGUUGAGUGGUCAGAAUCGUUCCACAAAAGGAAGCGAGCUGGCAGAAACGUUAGCAUGCCAGACGAAAUGCUUAGCGGUAUUUCGUCUGCCGCUACGUCGACUUUGCCUUUCAUCCUUUCGGGGUCGAUUAAAUAAGUACCAGUUACGCACUGGGGUCGAUAUAAUCGAUUUAAUACCUUUGUCUGUCCUUAUUUGUCCCCUCUGUGUUUAGCCCCUUGUGGGCAAUAAAGAAAUAAGAAUCCUUCCACAACACAAUUCCACUGACAAGACUUUGGUCAAACUGAGGCUGUUGUAGAAGGCACUUGCUCAAGGUGAACCUGGAACCAUGUGGUCAAGCAACUGUUAUGAAAUAACGACUCAUGACAGUUGUCAGAAUAUGACUUUUUAUCUGCGUGAAUACGUUUGUGCCUUUUCAAGUGACUGACUUCCAAAAAUGAUUUACCACAGGUAUUACAAUAUGGUUUUACCUUAGUAUGAAUACGUUUGUGAUUAGUCAACUGACUAUUUUGAGAGAAUGAUUUACCACAGAUAAUACAAUGAUAGGGCUUCUCUCAUGUAUGAAUACGUUUGAGACUAACUAAAGUGCUAUUUUCAGAAAAUGAUUUACCACACAUAUCACAGUGAUGUGGUUUUCCUCCAGUAUGAAUAUAUUUGUGACUAGUCAAGAGAUUAUUACAAGAGAAUGAUUUAACGUAGCUAUCACAAUGAUAGAUUAUUUCAGCAACCAUAUGAGUAUUCAAACACAACACACAAGUGUAAUGAUUUCAAUAUCAAAAUUUAUUUCAUGAAAACAAUUGUGACUGUUUUGUCUGCUAAAGGACAGAGUUUUUUUUCUUCUUCAAAUUUGAUGUUAUCAACAUCAGUUUCACCAAUAUAUAUGUGUGUGUCACUGUUUGUGAAUUACUUCACCAUGGUUAACAGCAAAUACAACCUGUGACAACCUUCUGUAACAAAAGACCGGCUAUGCAUCACAGCCACAACUUCUUAUACGACAGUACCUCAACCGGCUCUGCAUCGCAGCCACAACUUCUUAUACGACAGUACCUCAACCUGCUCUGCAGCGCAGCCACAACUUCUUAUACGACAGUACCUCAACCGGCUCUGCAUUGCAGCCACAACUUCUUGAUACAGCAUCUCAACUAUCGUGUACAUCGACUACGAACUGGUAUUUAUCAUCCUUGUGUCUGAACAUUCUUCUAACAUCAUAUUAUGGACUCUUUCAAUGCUCUGUACUUAACGCACACGCAUACAUCCAUGUUUGUACACACAUACACAUUAUGUAUACAUGACGCACACACAGACACACAUGUUAACCUAUCAAUAAAGUCUUGUCUUAAACAUUCUA